AAGAAUUAUGAGUUACUGAAGUGUAAGGUGACAGAUAAAAAGAGUGGAGAAACCCUGCUGUGUAAUGUCGGCCCCCAGUCCUCAUGUGAGAAAACAGGGAGCACAUCAGUGGGGAGAAACAAUACAUCAUCUGAAAAGAAUGACACUCCAACAAAACAAGGUUGGUGGAGGUUCAUCAUUUUGGGUUUAGCAACACUCAUGCUAAUUGUUCUGGCAGUCUACAUGUGGAAGAGAACUAAAGGUGAAAACAUUCAAAGAUGUCAUUUUUAUAAAAAAGAUUUACA